CCUACGGGUGGCUGCAGUAAGGAAUAUUGGUCAAUGGCCGUAAGGCUGAACCAGCCAAGUCGCGUGAAGGAAGAAGGAUCUAUGGUUUGUAAACUUCUUUUAUAGGGGAAUAAAGGUAGCCACGUGUGGAUAGUUGCAUGUACCCUAUGAAUAAGCAGCGGCUAACUCCGUGCCAGCAGCCGCGGUAAUACGGAGGAUGCGAGCGUUAUCCGGAUUGAUUGGGUUUAAAGGGAGCGUAGAUGGGUUGUUAAGUCAGUUGUGAAAGUUUGCGGCUCAACCGUAAAAUUGCAAUUGAUACUGGCAGUCUUGCGUACAGUUGAGGUCGGCGGACUUCGUGGUGUAGCGGUGAAAUUCUUAGAUAUCACG
rnacentral:rRNA from 1 species